rnacentral:rRNA from 1 species
GCUCAGAUUGAACGCUGGCGGCAGGCUUAACACAUGCAAGUCGAGCGGUAACAGGGGGUGCUUGCACCCCGCUGACGAGCGGCGGACGGGUGAGUAAUGCAUAGGAAUCUGCCCAGUAGUUGGGGAUAGCCCGGGGAAACCCGGAUUAAUACCGAAUACGCCCUACGGGGGAAAGCAGGGGAUCUUCGGACCUUGCGCUAUUGGAUGAGCCUAUGUCGGAUUAGCUAGUUGGUGGGGUAACGGCCUACCAAGGCGACGAUCCGUAGCUGGUCUGAGAGGAUGAUCAGCCACAUCGGGACUGAGACACGGCCCGAACUCCUACGGGAGGCAGCAGUGGGGAAUAUUGGACAAUGGGGGCAACCCUGAUCCAGCCAUGCCGCGUGUGUGAAGAAGGCUUUCGGGUUGUAAAGCACUUUCAGUGAGGAGGAAAACCUUAUGGCUAAUAUCCAUGAGGCUUGACGUUACUCACAGAAGAAGCACCGGCUAACUCCGUGCCAGCAGCCGCGGUAAUACGGAGGGUGCAAGCGUUAAUCGGAAUUACUGGGCGUAAAGCGCGCGUAGGUGGUUCGAUAAGCGAGAUGUGAAAGCCCCGGGCUUAACCUGGGAACGGCAUUUCGAACUGUCGAGCUAGAGUGUGGUAGAGGGUAGUGGAAUUUCCUGUGUAGCGGUGAAAUGCGUAGAUAUAGGAAGGAACACCAGUGGCGAAGGCGGCUACCUGGACCAACACUGACACUGAGGUGCGAAAGCGUGGGGAGCAAACAGGAUUAGAUACCCUGGUAGUCCACGCCGUAAACGAUGUCAACUAGCCGUUGGGGAUCUUGAAUCCUUAGUGGCGCAGCUAACGCACUAAGUUGACCGCCUGGGGAGUACGGCCGCAAGGUUAAAACUCAAAUGAAUUGACGGGGGCCCGCACAAGCGGUGGAGCAUGUGGUUUAAUUCGACGCAACGCGAAGAACCUUACCUGGCCUUGACAUCCUGCGAACUUUCUAGAGAUAGAUUGGUGCCUUCGGGAACGCAGUGACAGGUGCUGCAUGGCCGUCGUCAGCUCGUGUCGUGAGAUGUUGGGUUAAGUCCCGUAACGAGCGCAACCCCUAUCCCUAGUUGCUAGCAGUUCGGCUGAGAACUCUAGGGAGACUGCCGGUGACAAACCGGAGGAAGGUGGGGAUGACGUCAGGUCAUCAUGGCCCUUACGGCCAGGGCUACACACGUGCUACAAUGGCGCGCACAGAGGGCUGCAAACUCGCGAGGGUAAGCCAAUCUCUUAAAACGCGUCGUAGUCCGGAUCGCAGUCUGCAACUCGACUGCGUGAAGUCGGAAUCGCUAGUAAUCGCGAAUCAGAAUGUCGCGGUGAAUACGUUCCCGGGCCUUGUACACACCGCCCGUCACACCAUGGGAGUGGAUUGCACCAGAAGUGGUUAGUCUAACCUUCGGGAGGACGAUCACCACGG